rnacentral:snRNA from 1 species
AAUUCCGUCCAAGGCUAAAU